GAUGAACGCUGGCGGCGUGCCUAAUACAUGCAAGUAGAACGCUGAAGGAGUAGCUUGUUCUUCUUAAUGAGUUGGGAACGGGUGAGUAACGGGUAGGUAACCUACCUUGUAUCUUGGGAUAACUUUUGGAAACGAUAGCUAAUACCGCAUGACAUCAGUUAUUGCAUUAUAACUGUUUAAAAUUGGCAACUUCUCCACUACCAUAUGCACCUGCGUUGUAUUAUCUAGUUGGUGAGGUAACGGCUCACCAAGGCGACGAUACAUAGCCUACGUGAGAGGGUGAUCGGGCACACCGGGAACGAGAAAACGGCCCGAACUCUAAGGGAAGCAGCCGUAGGGAAUCAUCGGAAAUGGAGGGAAAUCUGACUGAACCAAGACGGGUGAGUGAAGAAGGUUCUUCGAUCGUAAAGCCCUGUUGUAAGAGAAGAAAGAGCAGCAGGGUAAAAAGUUGACACUGUGACGGUACCUUAACAGAAAGGAACGGCUAACUACGUG
rnacentral:rRNA from 1 species